UACGAAGGGUGCAAGCGUUGCUCGGAAUUAUUGGGCGUAAAGGGAAGGUAGGUGGUUACGUAUGUCUGGGGUGAAAUCCCUGAGCUCAACUCAGGAAGUGCCUUGGAAACGGCGUAACUAGAAUACUGGAGAGGUUCGUAGAAUUCCUGGUGUAGCGGUGAAAUGCGUAGAGAUCAGGAGGAACACCGGUGGUGUAAACGGCUUUCUGGACCAUAACUGACGCUGAUGCACGAAAGCGUGGGUAGCAAACAGG
rnacentral:rRNA from 1 species